CCUGAGCAGCAGCUUGCACCUCUAUGUGGUGUUCAGGACCAGUAGCCAUUAUAUAUGGUGAAGCAAAGCAAGC
rnacentral:ribozyme from 1 species